UGACGUCAAGUCCUCAUGGCCUUUAUGACCAGGGCUACACACGUACUACAAUGGCAGGUACAAAGGGCAGCCACUUAGCGAUAAGGCGCGAAUCCCGUAAAACCUGUCUCAGUCCGGAUUGGAGUCUGCAACUCGACUCCAUGAAGUUGGAAUCGCUAGUAAUCGCAGAUCAGCACGCUCGCGGUCGAAUACGUUCCGGGCCUU
rnacentral:rRNA from 1 species